rnacentral:rRNA from 1 species
GACGAACGCUGGCGGCGUGCUUAACACAUGCAAGUCGAGCGGUAAGGCCCUUUCGGGGGUACACGAGCGGCGAACGGGUGAGUAACACGUGGGUGACCUGCCCUCAGCUCUGGGAUAAGCCUGGGAAACCGGGUCUAAUACUGGAUAUGACUCCAUGACGCAUGUUGUGGGGUGGAAAGCCUUGUGCGGCUGAGGAUGGGCCCGCGGCCUAUCAGCUUGUUGGUGGGGUGAUGGCCUACCAAGGCGACGACGGGUAGCCGGCCUGAGAGGGCGACCGGCCACACUGGGACUGAGACACGGCCCAGACUCCUACGGGAGGCAGCAGUGGGGAAUUUUGGACAAUGGGGGCAACCCUGAUCCAGCCAUGCCGCGUGAGUGAAGAAGGCC